UACGGGGGGAGCAAGCGUUGUUCGGAUUUACUGGGCGUAAAGGGCGCGUAGGCGGCCUCUGCAAGUCGACUGUGAAAUCUCCGGGCUUAACCCGGAACGGUCAGCCGAUACUGCAGGGCUAGAGUGCAGAAGGGGCAACUGGAAUUCUCGGUGUAGCGGUGAAAUGCGUAGAUAUCGAGAGGAACACCUGCGGCGAAGGCGGGUUGCUGGGCUGACACUGACGCUGAGGCGCGAAAGUGUGGGGAUCAAACAGG
rnacentral:rRNA from 1 species